rnacentral:rRNA from 1 species
AUUGAACGCUGGCGGCAGGCCUAACACAUGCAAGUCGAGCGCGCGUCGGGGGGGUGAGUAAAGUCUGGGAAACUGCCCGAUGGGGAGGGAUAAAUACUGGGGACGCGAUAUAAUACCGCAUACCAUCAGAUUUGCGCAGAUGGGAUUAGCUAGUGGGUGGGGUAACGGCCCACCUAGGCGCCGAUCCCUAGCUGGUGUGAGAGGAUGACCAGCCACACUGGAACUGAGACACGGUCCAGACUCCUACGGGAGGCAGCAGUGGGGAAUAUUGCACAAUGGGCGCAAGCCUGAUGCAGCCAUGCCGCGUGUGUGAAGAAGGCCUUCGGGUUGUAAAGCACUUUCAGCGGGGAGGCGUUACCCGCAGAAGAAGCACCGGCUAACUCCGUGCCAGCAGCCGCGGUAAUUC